rnacentral:rRNA from 1 species
UAGGGAAUCUUCCACAAUGGACGAAAGUCUGAUGGAGCAACGCCGCGUGAGUGAUGAAGGGUUUCGGCUCGUAAAACUCUGUUGUUGGAGAAGAACAGGUGAUAGAGUAACUGUUAUCAUCUUGACGGUAUCCAACCAGAAAGCCACGGCUAACUACGUGCCAGCAGCCGCGGUAAUACGUAGGUGGCAAGCGUUGUCCGGAUUUAUUGGGCGUAAAGCGAGCGCAGGCGGUUUUUUAGGUCUGAUGUGAAAGCCUUCGGCUUAACCGGAGAAGGGCAUCGGAAACUGGGAGACUUGAGUGCAGAAGAGGACAGUGGAACUCCAUGUGUAGCGGUGAAAUGCGUAGAUAUAUGGAAGAACACCAGUGGCGAAGGCGGCUGUCUGGUCUGUAACUGACGCUGAGGCUCGAAAGCAUGGGUAGCGAACAGGAUUAGAUACCCUGGUAGUCCAUGCCGUAAACGAUGAGUGCUAAGUGUUGGAGGGUUUCCGCCCUUCAGUGCUGCAGCUAACGCAUUAAGCACUCCGCCUGGGGGAGUACGACCGCAAGGUUGGAACUCUAAAGUGAAUUGAC